AACAGAAAAGCCCACAUCAGUGUGCAUUUGCAAUCACAAAAAUAAACGCCGGCCACAAUGACCUUGUUUUCAACAUAAACAUGAAGAUCGCAAAUGGAUGCAAUGCCACAGAGAUUUUCCCAGGACUUUUUCACAACUGCCUCGUGGCAGUGAAACGAGUUGCCAAGCAUAUUUCCCAAAAAGAGUUGGAAAUGGCUCAUUACUUGUGUUCAGACAGUUCAACUUUACAAGCAGAGCAUCUUUCUAUUUGCCCUGCAAGAUGGAAUAGGCAAAUUCAAAGGAAAAUCUCUGGAAGAAAUAACACCCAACAUCAACUCUGAGCAGGACCUGAGCGACUCAGAUGCAGAGGAAGUCCAAUCUGAGCAGACUGCAACACCAAGUCAAGAAGGAAACUCAGAGGGUGGACAUUCAGAUCACAGGGCUGCUACCUCAAAGAAGAAAACUGGGGUCAUAAAAAACUCAAAUCAAAAGGAGAAACCAAGAAGGCCCUGGUCACAGUCUGAGAGAAAAAUCGUGGAACACCAUUUCAAGGACUUCCUGGAGGAAAUGAAGCUCCCUGGAAAAGUAGACUGUCAAAGAUGCUUAAAUGAAAAUCAGACUCUAAGGGACAAUGGAAGAGACUGGAAAACCAUAAAAUACUUUCUGCACAACAAAAUAGUAUAUAUCAAAAAGAAUGUGUGCCAAGAGCGUUAAGACCAAUAAAACUGUUGGAAAAAAUGUUGUUGUACUGGAUAGUCAGGAUCCUGUAUUGGAGACUGCACUAUUCAGUAGGAAAACACACCUCAACGCAUCACAACGUCGAAGUCAUCCACAAGCGACAGCAGUCAGCGGGAAAGAGGAAGUCGGCAGCUGCCUUCACUCUCCUACCCAUCGGCUCUAUAGCCUAGUUUCUAAUGUAUUAAUAUAGUGUUUUUAAAAAAACAAAGAUACAUUUUUACAUGUAGUAAGCAUUUAGCCUCACGCUAAUUUAUCAAGACUCGAGUAGGGCUUCAUCGCCUCCUGCCUUCAGCCUCUCCAACCAUUUCAGUGCCCUGUUGGAA